AUGGGGGACUGAUGAAUAGUUUACACCAUGCAGAACGUCUGUGUGGAGUGACUGCUAAAAAUGCUGAUGCUACUGCUGCUUCUGGGACCCAGUUAUGGGCUUGGUGCUCAUGUCCUUCAGCAUCCAAGCAGGGCUCUCUGCAAGAGUGGAACAUCUGUGACUUUCCAGUGCACGACAGUGGACAUUCUUGUCCCAACUGUGUUUUGGUACCGUCAGUUUCCUACAGAGGGCCUCGCACUGAUAGCAACUUCCAAUGAGGGCUCCAGUGCCACGUAUGAGGAAGGUUUUCACAAGGAGAAGUUUUCCAUAAAUCGCCAAAGUCAAACAGUUACAAAUAUGACCUUGACAAACCUGCUUCCUGGAGACAGCAGCCUUUACUUCUGUGGUGCCAGUAGCACAGAGCGGGGAAGAGAGCAGAGACCCAGACAAGAACAUAUAAAACAGCUCUCCCUCCUUCCUCACCCCAAAAGCCAGGGAGCCUUGAGGAAGGAGGUGGAGGAUCAAAACCACAGCUUCUCUGACUGA